AACCAUUGUGCCAUGAUCCCUCUUCCCUUGCUUGUUCAGGUUGCCAAGUGUGUUAAAAUUGGGUUGCCCGAGCUAGUUCUUCUGGCUUUUCUGUUGUCAGAUUUCUUAAGGAGCAUCGGAUGAACGGGGCCGCAAACUCAUACAACUUGCAGAUUGGAGAAGUGCGAGCGGAUUCAGAUUAGCUUAACAUAAGUGUAGAUGGAUUCGGGUAAACAAAUUGUAAUGCUAUAGGAGGAAUAGUAUAAUAAAGCAAUUGUAAAACUAUUUUAUUUCAUUUAAUGUUAUUUGAAUUUUGUUUUC